rnacentral:lncRNA from 1 species
GGGGUGAGUGCGGGCUGCUGAGGAACCUUUAAGGAUGCUAGACUGGCUUCUUUGGCCUGGGCAUUGUGCAUGAAGCCCACCACAUCGUCCAGACUCCAGCACAGGGCAUCUGCCAACAGGACCAGUGACUCAUCAAAGUACUCGGCCACCAUGACCAGGUCAAAGACUGAGUCCAACCAGGCCAGACCCCAUUGGAUAAAGGAUGAGGGCCUAAAAUCUGAGGAGACAAGGCUGGCUGGCUGCUUGUAACUAUCAGCAGCUGUGGUAACAGGACGGAAGAGAGUUCCAGGGCUAGCACCGGAAGGAGAAGGCAGAGCGGGCUAGAGCUGCUGGAUCUCGGACAAUGGAAAAGAAGAAGCUAUCAGAAGGCAUGACCUGAAGUACCUGCAGAAGAAAGAAAGAGAGGAAGAGCUUGACUGAGGAGAAAAUGAGUCCAAGCUGAGGCUCUGAUGAGCCGUCAGGCUCUGCUGUACACCCCCAGUUUCCCCUACUAGCUGUGUGAUGUUGGGGAAAUUACAUAGCACCUCUGAAAUUCAAUUUGCUGUCUGCAAAAGGAAAGUAGUCAGAGGUUCCCAGGUAAUUGAGAAUACUCGAAAUAACAGCUAGUCAGAAAUCUAGAACACAAAGCUCUUACUGGUUAUUAAUGUCCUUGGGUUUUUGUGUCUUCGUUGGUAGAGAAAACUCUCAAACCUGGGGCUGGG